UGCGUUAACGAACGAGACCUCGACCUACUAAAUAGUUGAGUAAACUCUUCGGGGUUUACGCUGACUUCUUAGAGGGACUUUUGGUGAGUAGCCAAAGGAAGUUCGAGGCAAUAACAGGUCUGUGAUGCCCUUAGAUGUUCUGGGCCGCACGCGCGCUACACUGAUCAAGUCAACGAGUUUACAACCUUGGCCGGAAGGUCUGGGUAAUCUUUUGAAACUUGAUCGUGCUGGGGAUAGUCCAUUGCAAUUAUUGGACUUCAACGAGGAUUUCCUAGUAAGCGUGAGUCAUCAGCUCGCGUUGAUUACGUCCCUGCCCUUUGUACACACCGCCCGUCGCUAAUACCGAUUGAAUGGAUC
rnacentral:rRNA from 1 species